UAUAACACAAAUUACAAUAUUCCUUAACAAACACUUUGUAUAGGUCCUGCAUCUUGCUUUCUCUACAUGCUAACUACCAGGGAUUUCUCUGUUCUUGGUCUUUUGUUUUGACAGUUCAAGAAGGAUGGGGGAGAUGAUGAUCCCAAUGGAAACAAUUCUGGUGGUGCUUCAAGAGGGAAUUGGUGGCAGGGCUCACUUUAUUACUAACAUCUUAAUCCAAAAUAAUGCAAACUUUCCAUCCCAAUACUUUAAGGAACACUAGCAGCGUAAUUAAUCGUAUUAUUACUAUGGAAAUAAGCUGGUAGAUAGCUAGCAAUACAGUAGAAGCAUAUAGAGCAUAACACAGCUUAGGACUUUGAGGAAGCAUGUUGACCCUGUAAGCUGUUAUAUUUAGGGCAGACAGCUCGGAGCACGCCGGAAUCAUGUAUUAUACGUUUAUCUACUUUUCUUUUGCCUGACUAAUCUAAUCUUCUUGUUCUGAACUAUGGUCCGUGGGAUUUUUCCCACAAGAAAAUGGAUUACUAUAACUAUAUAUUGACAUAUAUAGUAUACCCUUCUCUCAUCUUGAUUUCACUUUCAAGAUUGGAUGCAUUUUAGCAUCUUAUAUACAAUGAAUGAUCACAAAGAGAAGUUAUAUGUUGCCAACAGUCAUGUGAUCUGUAGUUCCGGUGACUGGAUUCAAAUUCUGGUUUCCAUAUUCUGGUUUAUUUUAUAGGAAUCAUGCAAGAUAAGGGUUUCAAGAAUUCCAUUUAUUGAGGAGAGGUUUUUGAGCAUUGAGCAGUAAGAAAAUACUUGAAGUUAUCGAAAGAUUACUGAACACAAUCUUUUAUGUAUCA